CUUCUCUUUGCAUUCAUCCAGAUGUUUCAAUACGUGAUUUUAAAGCGUUCAUUUGUUCCAUACCGUCCCCCUGGCUUCAAAUGUUUGUUGCUGAAGCAGUUUUUAAAAAAAUGUGUUUACAGAGGAAUGUAACUAUUUCUUCAGAACCUCUUUCUCUUCAGAAAAUAGUCGGUCCCUAUUUUCUUGCUUUGCAAGAGGUGGGGAUAUGUGAGACAAGAAAAAUUCACAAAGCAAAGAAAAUAGGGCAUUGGCCAUGCCCUGCAUCUCAGAAGGCAUUACAGAUGCUAAAUGGUGAUGAGCAGAACCAAGUCAAAGUGCUGCCUGAUCUACCUAAGUGCCGUACAAGGAAGAGAGCUAAGGCUUCAGACAGCAAAGAGAAUUGUUCCUCUUGGGCUGAAGAGGUGGAUUUUUGCAGGAGAAAUGCUAAAGGUAUUAUAUAUAUCUGAUUUAUGUUAGAGACUUUAUAUGGUUAGAAUUGAUGGUUUCAGAUUUAAAAAUCUUGACCUUACGAAUGCUGGGCUAAAAUGAUGGCUUAUGUCCAAUAAUUAUUUUCUUAUGGUCCUUUUUUAAUGUCUGUUUGGAAGGAGGAAUUGCAUAUAUGGUGGAAUAAAGCUGCCUUCUUCGUUCCCCUCCCCCCCCAGAUAUUAAAUACAGUGUACAGCUUGUGUGAGCUCAUUCUAGUCUUGCCCGUCUUACUUUGCUAAUCCACCUCAACCUGUGCUUGGUAGGAUCAACGUCUUCUGAUUUGAAAGUAUAAUUCGGUCUUCACCGCUUUCAGUCCUAGACAUUUUGUGAACAAAGACUGAGGAGUAUGCUAUGUUACAUAGCUGUGUUAAGCAUAUGGACUGUUUUCUUCCAGGCAUUCAGCCCAGACUAUGAAAGGCAUUUGGCUUUUGUCUUAGCUAUACUGGAACCCAAGUACCUAAGGAAUAAAACAGCACUGCAGUAAUUCAUUCAGUUGCUACUUAUUACACAAAUCUAAUAAAUUGUGCUUUAUGUGAGGCUUUACCCCAACAGAAUGACUCGUUAGGACUACUUUUUCUCAUCUUUAUCAUCAGAAAUGUAGCUAUGUCACUUAAAACACAGCUAUAUGAAUCAUGACACUCAGGCUUAGAAAAAUCUGGCAAAAGCAACCUAGGAUUGUGGAUUAUUAUAUUAUAUU